AUGCAAAUGGUCUCUUGCGGUCGCACGGCGAUCAACAUUAACGGCAAGAUUGGCCCCUUCUUCCCUACCCUUUGUGGGGUGCGCCAAGGCGACCGCUUCUCCCCGUUCCUCUUCAAUAUGGUCGUGGACGCUUUGGCCUCCAUUCUAGACAAGGAAAAAGCCGCGGGGCACCUCCGUGGUAUUACCCCCCAUCUCUUCGGGGGCGCGGGGAUCUCCAUCCUCCAGUAUGCCGAUGACACGAUCAUCAUGGUUGAAGGCUCGGAGCUGGAUAUCACCAACCUAAAGUUCCUCCUUCUUUGCUUCCAACAGAUGUCGGGCCCCAAGAUCAACUUUGAUAAGAGCGAUGUUAUGGUGAUGGGUUACUCUCCCGCUGAGUCAGUAGCCAUCGCCAAUAGACUUAAUUGCCGCCUGGGCUCGUUCCCCACUACCUACCUUGGGACGCCCAUCAGUGACUCGCGCCUCUUGGCCGCCGAUCUUCGCCUCUCCGUGACCAAGCUCCAGACUAGAUGCGAGCCCUGGCAGGGGAGGUGGCUCUCUAAGGCGGCCCGGACUAUUCUUAUCAACUCCUCCCUCUCCAGCCUCCUCUUAUUUCUUAUGAGUUUCUACAGCCUCCACGAAUCUCUCCAUAAGGAGAUCGCCAAAAUCUAG
rnacentral:rRNA from 1 species